AUUGAACGCUGGCGGCAGGCCUAACACAUGCAAGUCGAGCGGAGCGGCGGACGGGUGAGUAAUGCCUAGGAAUCUGCCUGGUAGUGGGGGAUAACGUCAGGAAACGGGCGCUAAUACCGCAUACUAUCAGAUGAGCCUAGGUCGGAUUAGCUAGUUGGUGGGGUAAAGGCCUACCAAGGCGACGAUCCGUAACUGGUCUGAGAGGAUGAUCAGUACCACUGGAAUGGAGACACGGUCCAUACUCCUACGGGAGGCAGCAGUGGGGAAGAUUGGACAAUGGGCGAAAGCCGGAUCCAGCCAUGCCGCGUGUGUGAAGAAGGUCUUCGGAUUGUAAAGCACUUUAAGUUGGGAGGCGUUACCAACAGAAUAAGCACCGGCUAACUUCGUGCCAGCAGCGGCGGUAAUUC
rnacentral:rRNA from 1 species